UGGUAAGAUGCGAGUAUGGU
rnacentral:miRNA from 1 species